rnacentral:misc_RNA from 1 species
GAUGAAGAACGUAGCGAAAUGCGAUAAGUAGUGUGAAUUGCAGAAUUCAGUGAAUCAUCGAAUCUUUGAACGCACAUUGCGCCCUUUGGUAUUCCAAAGGGCAUGCCUGUUCGAGCGUCAUUUGUACCCUCAAGCUUUGCUUGGUGUUGGGCGUCUUGUCUCUAGCUUUGCUGGAGACUCGCCUUAAAGUAAUUGGCAGCCGGCCUACUGGUUUCGGAGCGCAGCACAAGUCGCACUCUCUAUCAGCAAAGGUCUAGCAUCCAUUAAGCCUUUUUUUCAACUUUAGACCUCGGAUCAGGUAGGGAUACCCGCUGAACUUAAGCAUUUCAAUAAGCGGAGGA